UACGUAGGGUGCGAGCGUUGUCCGGAAUUAUUGGGCGUAAAGAGCUCGUAGGCGGUUUGUCGCGUCGGCCGUGAAAUCUCCACGCUUAACGUGGAGCGUGCGGUCGAUACGGGCAGACUUGAGUUCGGGAGAGGGAUGCGGAAUUCCAGGUGUAGCGGUGAAAUGCGUAGAUAUCUGGAGGAACACCGGUGGCGAAGGCGGCAUCCUGGACCGACACUGACACUGAGGAGCGAAAGCCAGGGGAGCAAACGGG
rnacentral:rRNA from 1 species